rnacentral:rRNA from 1 species
UGGGGAAUUUUGGACAAUGGGCGAAAGCCUGAUCCAGCAAUGCCGCGUGUGUGAAGAAGGCCUUCGGGUUGUAGAGCACUUUUGUCCGGAAAGAAAUCCUUGGCUCUAAUACAGUCGGGGGAUGACGGUACCGGAAGAAUAAGCACCGGCUAACUACGUGCCAGCAGCCGCGGUAAUACGUAGGGUGCAAGCGUUAAUCGGAAUUACUGGGCGUAAAGCGUGCGCAGGCGGUUUGCUAAGACCGAUGUGAAAUCCCCGGGCUCAACCUGGGAACUGCAUUGGUGACUGGCAGGCUAGAGUAUGGCAGAGGGGGGUAGAAUUCCACGUGUAGCAGUGAAAUGCGUAGAGAUGUGGAGGAAUACCGAUGGCGAAGGCAGCCCCCUGGGCCAAAUACUGACGCUCAUGCACGAAAGCGUGGGGAGCAAACAGGAUUAGAUACCCUGGUAGUCCACGCCCUAAACGAUGUCAACUAGUUGUUGGGGAUUCAUUUCCUUAGUAACGUAGCUAACGCGUGAAGUUGACCGCCUGGGGAGUACGGUCGCAAGAUUAAAACUCAAAGGAAUUGACGGGGUCAUAGCUGUUUCCU